AGAAGUGCCGAGUCCCGACCGGGGGCAGCCUCGCCGCCGCUCAGCUCGGGAAUCCCUGCCCCCCACCAGCACCUCAGUGGGGGAUACUGCAAGUUCAAGGUGGUUUAAGGCGUGAAUGAAUGAAGGAGCAAGCAGUAAGCCCCGACAGCAAGGCCACCACAGCCCUCGCCCCACAGGGACGCCUGAGCAAGGACCCAAGCAGGGGACAAGCAGGCUCACCCCGCCCUUGCGGGGCUGACCACGAGGCCCCGUCCGGUGGAACAUGCCAUGACGAUCUGAACCUGCCCCAGCCCCAGGACUCUGAGUGCAGCCAGAGGGGAGCCGGGCUGGAGAGUGGGGAGCACGGAGACUGUGGCCUGGAUGGUGCCAGAGCAAACAGGGGAGAGGCUGCCCCACGCAGAGGCUGCGGCACAGCCCAGAGGGUCCCGGGGCUGACUGGGUGGGGGCAGCUCCCAGCGAGAGGCCCCUGGGAUUUGGGUAAGUAGAGGCACAUGCAGACUCUGGCCACAGGGCACCUCACGCACGAGGGGAGUUCACCACACAAGCUGAGCGGAGGGCGGACGCAGGAGACCAGCGGUUUCUCGGAAGCCAAGGGCAGUCAUGGAGCCCCACGCCACAGCGCUUCCCACAGGGCCACACCAUCCGGUCUGCGGAGGGGGCUGCAUUGCCGGGAAGGACCAUCUGAUUCUGGAUUCCAGCCUCACCCUGGGCCACCGCUGAGUGUCCCAAGUGGCCCCUUAGCCCCCAGGGCCAGGCGGCAUCCCAAUCCCCUAGGGAUGUCUGUGCUCAGAAUGUGGCACACACGCCCCGGCAGGGCCAUCCUCCUCCUCCUGCACCCGCCACAGCCGUGGGUUCGGGGUCUCUAUCGUGGGCAGAAAUUCACACAGUCAAGGUGAGGGUCCCAGGAGCAGCUGUGACCAGGCCCCGGCUGCCAGGGAGAGGGGGUCUUCAGCCGACGGGGCAGACACCCUGAGAUGGACCCUCGUCCAGGGGAGGGCCCUGCCACCCACAAUUCCUUGGCAUUCCUGCACCAGCAGGACGGGCUGAGGGAGGCGCCUCGCCAGUGUCAGUGCCCAGCAUCACUGUGCCCCGGUGGAGGGGGAGGCCCUUCCGAGCCUGGGCCUGGGUGUGGAUGAGGGCAGGUCUCUCACCUCUCUGACCUCAGCUUCCUCAACUGGGAAGGGGGGCCGCAGCACCCCCUUAGGGGUGAUGAGGAAGUGGGAGCUCAGGGAGGACCCCGGGCAGGGCUGCCUCCUCACCUCUCUUCAGCUUUUGGACACUGGAGCUCAGAGGCCCAAGUGAAUGAAUGAAUGACUCAAUCAAUCAAGUGAUCCAUCAAUCCACGGACCCCUGAACAGCUGGACAGCUGGGCUGUGGGCAGGACAGGGGACUCUGGCUGAAGCCGCGUUCAUAUGUGUUCAGCUUUGUGAGUGGGGCGAGGUUGAGGGCUUAUUCAGUGGGGGAGGUGCACGGCAGGGCCAGUACCCUUGGAGGGUCAGGCCACAGGGGCGGGGACACCUGCCAGGAUGCCCAACCCCAGAGGCAGUGGGAGCCGUUGGGGAGCCGUGGUCCCAGUCAGCGGUGGCUUGAUGAGGGCUGCUCCCACUUCGUCCGCAGGAUUCCAGCCGCAGCUACCCCACACCCGAGCUGUCCCUGGUCGCCCACCGUGGCCGGAGAAAGCCGCAGCAGCCAAGGUGCUCCGUGGGGAGGGUUUCUUGGGUUUCUUGAAGCCAGUAUUUCCCAUAGUAUCUUAUGUCCCAGCAGAGGCCUCCACUGUGCCCGGACCAGCGGCCCACUCAGUGAGUCGAGUGUGCACCUGGCACCCCUCUUUCUGGAAAUCCACGAACAAUGGGCUCCCAGCAGAGGACUGAGGCUGAGCAGGCCACUUCCCUGGAGCUGACCCCACAGCUGUGUAGGUACAGGGUGGCCGUGAACACUUAGGGCUCUCUCGGGCUGUGCACUUCUUGUUCACCGCAGCGAGCAGGGUGUUGGCUCCUGACCAAGCCCUGUCACUGCUGCCCAGCCACACGUGGGGCCCCCUUCACCCACCCCUGACCACCUCAUGCAGGUGACGCCACUGUGGAAACAGCCUGGCAGUCCCUUGAAAAAUGAAGUCAUAAACCCCAGCAAUUGCACUCCUGGGCCUCUGACAGAGCUUGCACGUCCCCUCCAAAGCUCAUGUUAAGCUGUGAGCCCCAGUGCCGGAGGUGGGGCCUGGUGUGUUUGGGUUCUGGGGGUGGAUCCCUCAUGGCUGGGUGCCAUGAACCCACUCACCACAGUUCUCACGAGAUCUGGUUGUUGAGAAGUGUGUCAUACCUCCCCCACAACUCUCUGUCUUUUGUUCCGGCUCUGGCCAUGUAACAAGCCUGCUCCUUCUUCGCCUUCUGCCAUGACUGUAAGCUUUCUGAGGGCUGACCAGAAGCCCAGCAGAUGCCAGCACCAUACUUCCUAUACAGCCUGCAGAACCGCGAGCCAGCUAAACCUCUCCUCAUAAAUCACCGAGCCCCAGGUUUAUCUUUACAGCAAUGCAAGACCUGACCAAUACAGCACAAGCUCCCCAAAAUAAAAAGAAAUAUUCAAAC
rnacentral:antisense_RNA from 1 species